rnacentral:rRNA from 1 species
UACGAAGGGUGCAAGCGUUGCUCGGAAUUAUUGGGCGUAAAGGGUAGGUAGGUGGUGACAUUUGUCUGGGGUGAAAUCCCUGAGCUUAACUCAGGAAGUGCCUUGGAAACGGUGUCACUAGAGUACUGGAGAGGUUCGCAGAAUUCUUGGUGUAGCGGUGAAAUGCGUAGAUAUUGGGAGGAACACCAGUGGCGAAGGCGGCUCACUGGACCGGAACUGACGCUGAGGAGCGAAAAGCGUGGGGGAGCGAACAGG